rnacentral:tmRNA from 1 species
GGGGGCGACAGGCUUCGACAGGGGCUUGUAUAGAUCUUUGAGUGCACGUCGGGCUUGUGUGGUCAGCUCGUUAAAACGACUAUACGAACACAAAUGCUAAUCAAGAAUUAGCUCUUGCUGCCUAGUUAACUCUAGAUCCAGCAGUGUCUCACCGGAAGUCCGCCUGAUGCGACCGGCUGAGGCAUAACUCAGUUCAGGCUCGGGCGCGUUCUCCACCUGCGAACACGCCUCAAAUUCAGCCGGGUUAGCUCGGGAUGAGGUCUUGUCCGCUCAUCUGCUCGCCUCGAGCGAAACUUAAGUGAACGGAAUAAACGUGUAGAGCUCUCUGGUCGCAACCUUUGGAUGCGGGUUCGAUUCCCGCCGCCUCCACCA